CCUACGGGUGGCAGCAGUGAGGAAUAUUGGUCAAUGGACGAGAGUCUGAACCAGCCAAGUAGCGUGAAGGAUGACUGCCCUAUGGGUUGUAAACUUCUUUUAUAUGGGAAUAAAAUGUUCCACGUGUGGGAUUUUGUAUGUACCAUAUGAAUAAGGAUCGGCUAACUCCGUGCCAGCAGCCGCGGUAAUACGGAGGAUCCGAGCGUUAUCCGGAUUUAUUGGGUUUAAAGGGAGCGUAGGUGGAUUGUUAAGUCAGUUGUGAAAGUUUGCGGCUCAACCGUAAAAUUGCAGUUGAAACUGGCAGUCUUGAGUACAGUAGAGGUGGGCAGAAUUCGUGGUGUAGCGGUGAAAUGCUUAGAUAUCACGAAGAACCCCGAUUGCGAAGGCAGUUCACUGGACUGCAACUGACACUGAGGCUCGAAAGUGUGGGUAUCAAACAGGAUUAGAUACCCGUGUAGUC
rnacentral:rRNA from 1 species